CCUACGGGAGGCAGCAGUGGGGAAUAUUGCACAAUGGAGGGAACUCUGAUGCAGCGACGCCGCGUGAGUGAAGAAGUAAUUCGUUAUGUAAAGCUCUAUCAGCAGGGAAGAAAGUGACGGUACCUGAAAAAGAAGCUCCGGCUAAAUACGUGCCAGCAGCCGCGGUAAUACGUAUGGAGCAAGCGUUAUCCGGAUUUACUGGGUGUAAAGGGAGAGUAGGUGGCAGAGCAAGUCCGAAGUGAAAACCCAAAGCUCAACUAUGGGAAUGCUUUAGAAACUGCUCAGCUAGAGUGCAGGAGAGGCAA
rnacentral:rRNA from 1 species